rnacentral:tRNA from 1 species
GCCCUCGUUGCCUAGUCGGUUAGGGCGUCAGCCUUGUAAGCUGAAGAUCCCGGGUUCGAAUCCCGGCGAGGGCUCCA